ACGCGACCCCAGGUCAGGCGGGGCUA
rnacentral:rRNA from 1 species